rnacentral:rRNA from 1 species
UUAAGCAUAUCAAUAAGCGGAGGAAAAGAAACCAACAGGGAUUGCCCUAGUAACGGCGAGUGAAGCGGCAACAGCUCAAAUUUGAAAUCUGGCCCCCCGGCCCGAGUUGUAAUUUGUAGAGGAUGCUUCUGGGUAGCGACCGGUCUAAGUUCCUUGGAACAGGACGUCAUAGAGGGUGAGAAUCCCGUAUGCGACCGGCCCGCGCCCUCCACGUAGCUCCUUCGACGAGUCGAGUUGUUUGGGAAUGCAGCUCUAAAUGGGAGGUAAAUUUCUUCUAAAGCUAAAUACCGGCCAGAGACCGAUAGCGCACAAGUAGAGUGAUCGAAAGAUGAAAAGCACUUUGGAAAGAGAGUUAAAAAGCACGUGAAAUUGUUGAAAGGGAAGCGCUUACAACCAGACUUUGGGGCGGUGUUCCGCCGGUCUUCUGACCGGUCUACUCUCCGUCCCGAGGCCAACAUCAUCUGGGACCGCCGGACAAGACCUCAGGAAUGUAGCUCCCCCUCGGGGGAGUGUUAUAGCCUGUGGUGAUGCGGCGCGUCCCGGGUGAGGUCCGCGCUUCGGCAAGGAUGUUGGCGUAAUGGUUGUCAGCGGCCCGUCUUGAAACACGGACCAAGGAGUCUAACAUCUAUGCGAGUGUUCGGGUGUCAAACCCCUACGCGGAAUGAAAGUGAACGGAGGUGGGAAGGGUAACCUGCACCAUCGACCGAUCCUGAUGUCCUCGGAUGGAUUUGAGUAAGAGCAUAGCUGUUGGGACCCGAAAGAUGGUGAACUAUGCCUGAAUAGGGUGAAGCCAGAGGGUCUAUGGUGGAGGCUCGCAGCGGUUCUGACGUGCAAAUCGAUCGUCAAAUUUGGGUAUAGGGGCGAAAGACUAAUCGA